rnacentral:lncRNA from 1 species
CAGCACGUUUUCUUUAAAGAAGGGGAGGGUGUUUGGAGGCAAAACUAUAUAAUUUUUUCUUUUUUCUUUUUUUUUUUUUUUUUAAAGAAAUGUAUGUUGAUCUUCUGAAGCUGAAUCCUCAGGCAUUUGUGGCCCGUCUUUGCAGCCUGGUAUGUUUUUUGUGAGUGUGUGCGAGCGCUCUCAAUCAAACAGCAAUCAUGGCAGCUGUUUUUCUUCCAGCACAGCAGUUGAGCUGUCUCGCCCAAAUGCUUAUCAGCUUUUGACUCGGUGCCAAGAGAGUUAUAAGGGCCAAGCAGCCUGAGCUUGGCUGUGCAGCUGGUUUGGAAGUAAGGGCAUGAGAAAACAAAAUCGCAAAGUUUUUCUGUCACAUACAGUAUUUACUUUUCAAAUGGCCGUUUUCAGCUCGGUAGGUUGGGGUUGGUUGUGUGUGUGCGCGCUGUAGUUCGUGGUCUUUGCGGACUGCUGUGUUACGCAGAGCGGUGUAGGUGUGUGACUGCAGAGAGGAGCCUCUUCUCUCCGUUUAAUCCCGGGAGAUAUUUCUGUGGAAACCACCCCCCCACACACACACACCCCCACCUCCCCCAAUUAAAAGCUUCAUUAGCCGCACUGCCCUGUCAAGCAUAUUGCCAUAGCGUGGGUGCAUUUACAUUCCAGCGCAGCGCCUUUCCUCCCAUCGCUGCCUCUCUGCCGGGUCCCCUCCCGGCGGCGCCGUCCCCAUCGCAGCCCCCGGCCCGCGGGGGUACCCGGCGGGGGUGGCAGCAGAGCCGGGCUCGGUGUGUCCGUGUGCCCAUGGCUGCGGGGGAUGGAAAGGAGCCUGUCCGCGCAGGGCCGUGCCGCUUUCAUCAUCAGCUCCAGCCCGCUGCGUUUCGCUGGCUCACGUCCUCCUCCUCCUCCUCCGCCUGACUGCUCCAGUCGCUCACAAGAAGGAGGCUGGACUCUGGAAAGGCGGCUGCUGCUCGCAUUCUUGCUGCAAGGGCCUCCCCUUCAGACGGCCUUUGCCAGAGCAGAACUUUUAAAAAUGCUGCAAAUAGGAUCUUCUUUUUCUUCUGCUUGCCUGAGCCCUCCUCUCCCAGCGUUCCCGAGCGGGGCUGGUUCUCGCCUCUCCUGCGCUGUACAUCCCAAUGCAGAGGGCGAAGCGGCGAGGGCUCGGCCCUCUGCUCAUCCCUUUCCCUCACUCCCUUUCCCCUCUGUUAAGGAAAUGGAUUCCUUUGCCUGGGCAGUGACUCGGGCUUUGCAGCAUAUCAGCCUGGAUGUGGUCACCCUGUCAGGAGUGUAA